rnacentral:rRNA from 1 species
GUGUCAGCCGCCGCGGUAAGACAGAGGUGGCGAGCGUUGUUCGGAUUUAUUGGGCGUAAAGCGUACGCAGGCGGUUUGGUAAGUCAGAGGUGAAAUUCCGCAGCUUAACUGCGGCACUGCCUUUGAUACUGCCUUUCUAGAGUAUAUGAGGGGGAAGCGGAAUUCCGAGUGUAGAGGUGAAAUUCGUAGAUAUUCGGAGGAACACCGGUGGCGAAGGCGGCUUCCUGGCAUAUAACUGACGCUCAUGUACGAAAGCGUGGGUAGCAAACAGGAUUAGAAACCCCCGUAGUCC